rnacentral:rRNA from 1 species
UGAGGAAUAUUGGUCAAUGGGCGAGAGCCUGAACCAGCCAAGUAGCGUGAAGGAUGACUGCCCUAUGGGUUGUAAACUUCUUUUAUAAAGGAAUAAAGUCGGGUAUGGAUACCCGUUUGUCAUGUACUUUAUGAAUAAGGAUCGGCUAACUCCGUGCC